GAAAGGCGCUUUUGCGUCACUGAUGGAUGGACCCGCGGUGCAUUAGCUAGUUGGUGAGGUAACGGCUCACCAAGGCCACGAUGCAUAGCCGACCUGAGAGGGUGAUCGGCCACACUGGGACUGAGACACGGCCCAGACUCCUACGGGAGGCAGCAGUAGGGAAUCUUCGGCAAUGGACGAAAGUCUGACCGAGCAACGCCGCGUGAGUGAAGAAGGUUUUCGGAUCGUAAAACUCUGUUGUUAGAGAAGAACAAGGAUGAGAGUAGAACGUUCAUCCCUUGACGGUAUCUAACCAGAAAGCCACGGCUAACUACGUGCCAGCAGCCGCGGUAAUACGUAGGUGGCAAGCGUUGUCCGGAUUUAUUGGGCGUAAAGCGAGCGCAGGCGGUUUCUUAAGUCUGAUGUGAAAGCCCCCGGCUCAACCGGGGAAGGUCAUUGGAAACUGGGAGACUUGAGUGCAGAAGAGGAGAGUGGAAUUCCAUGUGUAGCGGUGAAAUGCGUAGAUAUAUGGAGGAACACCAGUGGCGAAGGCGGCUCUCUGGUCUGUAACUGACGCUGAGGCUCGAAAGCGUGGGGAGCGAACAGGAUUAGAUACCCUGGUAGUCCACGCCGUAA
rnacentral:rRNA from 1 species